GGGCGUGUAGCUCAGUGGUAGAGCGCUCGCUUUGCAUUGGUGUGCGAGAAGUCUAGGGUUCGAUCCCCUACUCGUCCA